AUUACUAUAACCCAAGGCUUUAUAUAAACUACACGUUCAGGUCAUUGGGUAAUAACAGGUUUUUCCAGUUUCCUUUUGUAUUCUCCUGCACGCACGUUAAUGUAACAAAGCUCUAAGAUUGCCCGAAAGGGAGAGGUGAAGAAAACAUCCUAAACACAAGUUAUGAUCUCACACCAUUCAUCUUCUCCUUUGAGUUAUUCGAGACUGUGUGAGUUCAGUGUUAUGAUAGACUACUAUGCAUUGCAAAUACACAGAGCAGGAUUAACCAUAAGGCGACUUUAGGCGGCUGCCUAGGGCCCAGGUGUUAGACAUGAUCUGUUCACUCAGUGGCACAGUUCUUUGUCAUCUGCAUCUUCUCUGGGAAACCAUCGAACAGAUUUACCAUGUUUUUAACAU